rnacentral:rRNA from 1 species
GAUGAACGCUGACCGAAUGCUUAACACAUCAGCAAUUGAUUGGUGGCGGACGGGUGAGUAACGCGUAAAGAACUUGCCUCACAGGUAGGGACAACAUUUGGAAACGAAUGCUAAUACCUAAUACUGUGAGAGAGCUUUGCGUCCCAUUAGCUAGUUGGAGAGGUAACGGCUCACCAAGGCGAUGAUGGGUAGCCGGCCUGCGAGGGAGAUCGGCCACAAGUGGACUGAGACACAACCCUUACGGCUACGGGGGGCAGAAGUGAGGAAUAUUGGAAAAAGGACCAAAGUCUGAUGCAGCAAUGCUGUGUGCAAGAAGGAGUUUUCGAAAUGAGAAGUGCUUUCAGUUGGGAAGCGGUACCAACAGAAGAAGAAACGGCUAAGUACGUGCCAGCAGCCGCGGUAAUAC